AGUGAACGCUGGCGGUAGGCCUAACACAUGCAAGUCGAACGGCAGCACAGUAAGAGCUUGCUCUUACGGGUGGCGAGUGGCGGACGGGUGAGGAAUACAUCGGAAUCUACUUUUUCGUGGGGGAUAACGUAGGGAAACUUACGCUAAUACCGCAUACGACCUACGGGUGAAAGCAGGGGAUCUUCGGACCUUGCGCGAUUGAAUGAGCCGAUGUCGGAUUAGCUAGUUGGCGGGGUAAAGGCCCUCCAAGGCGACGAUCCGUAGCUGGUCUGAGAGGAUGAUCAGCCACACUGGAACUGAGACACGGUCCAGACUCCUACGGGAGGCAGUAGUGGGGAAUAUUGGACAAUGGGCGCAAGCCUGAUCCAGCCAUACCGCGUGGGUGAAGAAGGCCUUCAGGUUGUAAAGCCCUUUUGUUGGGAAAGAAAAGCAGCAGGUUAAUACCCCGCUGUUCUGACGGUACCCAAAGAAUAAGCACCGGCUAACUUCGUG
rnacentral:rRNA from 1 species